rnacentral:rRNA from 1 species
GACAGAGGGGGCAAGCGUUGCUCGGAAUUACUGGGCGUAAAGCGUGUGUAGGUGGUUAGAUAAGUUAGAUGUGAAAUCCCCGGGCUUAACCUGGGCACUGCGUUUAAGACUGUUUAACUAGAGUACUGUAGAGGAUAGUGGAAUUUCCAGUGUAGCGGUGAAAUGCGUAGAUAUUGGAAGGAACACCAGUGGCGAAGGCGACUAUCUGGAUAGAUACUAACACUGAGACACGAAAGCGUGGGGAGCAAACAGG